rnacentral:lncRNA from 1 species
AUGAGAAUGGUGUUCUGUAUGAGGAUACCAAACGAUGCAGCGCAUGCACCCAUCCCAUCGGUCUCCAUUCCUUUUAUGACUGUAUGGAUUGUGAUUUUUCUCUCCAUCAGAAGUGUGCUGAAUGUCCUAAAAGGAAACGACAUGUGCUACACAAUGACCGGCUCACUUUAGUUUCAAACAAGGAGCUAAAAGUCUUCGUUUGUUAUGCUUGCCAUCGAAGGUCCAAUGGUUUCAUGUACAAGCAUGGGUGUAUGGAGUUAGAUGUGUUGUGCGGUUCAAUUUCUGAGCCAUUUCUCCAUCCAAGUCACCCCCACCAUCCCUUAUAUUUUAUUCCAACAGAAGAAGAUGGAAUAUGCAAUGGUUGCAACACCAAGGAAUUUCGUCUACUCAAGUGCAUUGAAGAUGAUUGUGGAUUUGUAAUAUGCUUCAAAUGCGCCACUCAACCAAAAGUGGUUAAGCACAGAGUAGACGAUGAUCCUUUCUCACUAUGCUAUGGCGAAGAAGAAGAAGAAGAAGCAAGUGGUAAAUACUGGUGUGGCAUUUGUGAGAAAGAAACCAAUCCAAAGAAAUGGUUCUACACUUGUAAAGAUCACUUGGCUAGUUUGCAUACAAAGUGUGUGCUCGGAGACUUAGGAGGGCUCAUGCCAAGAAGCGUAGCAAAGUUGUGGGGCACAUCGUAUGAGGUGGUGCUCAACAAUAGUGUAACUCGCCCAUUUUGCAUCUGGUGUAAGUAUCGUUGCAUGUACCAUAUCUACCUCAAGGUGCUUGGAAACUCAGAGACGUACUAUUGCUCUUUUCGUUGUUUAUAAUUCUUUAAAUGGAGACAUGGUCUGCUUGGAACCUCAGAGACAUACAUUAAAACUGUAGUGUAAAAAAAGUAGGCCAUGGAGGCAAGAUGUCUAUUCAUUUAAGUUUCUUAUAUUCUUCAUUGGACAAGUUCAUUUCCACUAUGGGUUGAUCUCCCUAAUCUACUUAUCUUAUCCAUAAGGUUUGCUAUAAAAAAAAAUGUGAGCUGUUUUCUUAGCAAACAAGAAUUUUGGUGGUUGAGUUUUAAUUCCGUUUUAUUUGAAAGUAACCUCUGAAAUUUUACAAGGCUCAUGCCAAGAAGCGUAGCAAAGCUUUGGUGCUAGAAAAAUCGAAUGAGGUUGCAUUUAUCCUAUCAAGUUUCUUGGAACCUUGGGGACAUGCAUUUGCUCAAAUGAUUGCGAACUUUCAUUUUAUUUGAGGUCCAUCGCCUUUUAUGAAAUGUUGUUACUCUGCUAUUAGGGAUUUGUUUACAGAAAGUAUCCACAUUUCUGGCAAAUGCAUUGGACACAUUUGAGUUUGCAAGGAUCUAGGCAAGCUUAAAAAAGUCCCACAAAAUAUUCACCAUUACCAGGCCUGAAUCCACAACCAUAAAUCAUGUUUAUACAUACGGGAUCAAUAAAUGUGAGCAACUUUUAUCAUUGUAUAUGACUAUUAAAUGCUUGUAUCACGAGCAUCUAUGAUGACUUUCAAUGAUAUGAGGAAGCUAGCGUGUGCCAUUGCUCAAUCAGUUUGAAGUGGGUCUUGGCAGCAAAUGGUUCCCUUUGGACACUCCUGCAACUCCGGAACGUAUCAGGAUGGCUUGUUUCGAUGAGUUUACUUGUCCUUUUAGAUUUCUGCCCUAAGCUUAGUGUUUGAGACAAGAGGAGGGUAAUCUCACAGGUUUUCCCGACAUAAGCAGUAACUUCUGUACCAAGUAUGAGACUUUCGCUUAUGUUUCCAAAUUCACUGUCUAUUCAGGAAGGGUUGUUUUGAAUUAUAUGUAUACCGUCAAGUCUCAUCCCUUAUGUUAUGUGACCCACCAUCAUCCCUUGUAUUACGUACAUAUUCAUAUGGACGACGAUGAAACCUGUAGUGGUUGCAACUUGGCGUUUUUGCGCACACAGAGAAACUGAGAACUGACUUUCUCAGUCAAUUGCGUAACCGUUAGAGUAUCAAAUCACAUUUACUUAUUUAAUAGGAUUAGGCACGGCAUAUACCUUGGAAAGCUGUUUAUUCAAUAUACUAAUGUACAGCUAGUGCAAUUAUUAUUUUCACAUGCCACCAUCCCAUAUAUCGACAAGUUCUACGAGAAAAGAAAAAUAAUUUAUCAUUAGCUGUAUUGUCAGUUUCUGUCAUAAAUAAGUAAACAUAGUGAACUAAUUAAUCAACAAUGAUUAACUAUUUUAAAAUGACAACCAAAAGUCAGACAUGAACAGUAAGUCUAUUAUUUUUAUAAGAAGGUCUUUGAGAUUAACCAUCUAAUCUUGCGUUGAAAAUUUGAUCUAGCUUUGAGAAUACCCAUCUUCUUUCCCAAAUGGAAUCUGAGGGAGGAGUGUUGUUACCAUUGUUUCACGAGCAUCCUAUGACGCCUUGGAAUGAUCAUAUGAGGAAAGGUGAUUGUUGUGAUUGCUUUGAACCUCAGAGUGAUGGCUACUAUUGUAAACUCUGUGAUUUCUUCGUGCACAAGAAAUGUGGUGACGAGCUCUCUGAAUUCAUCAUCGACCACCCUUUUCACCCCAAUCACACUCUCCGGCUUCAAGAAAAACGAGGUAAUUCUUGCAGUAUAUGUGGAAGUAAAAUCCAGAAUCUAUGCUAUCGUUGUGAGGUGUGUGACUUUGAAAUGGAUCUACAUUGUGCCAAGUACCCACCACCAGAUGUUAUUGACAAUUUUGAGAUGCAUCCCCAACAAGCUCACACUUGUCAAGAAAAAGACCACCUUCUUCUACUGUUCUGCAAAUUGCGGGAAGACUUCUCGAAAUGGUGUUGGAAUUUGUUGGGGAUUUCCUUACAUAUGUGAAGAAUGUGAAGAUUUAGCCUUCCACGUGGACUGUGUAUGGCACCCAGACGCACUAGAUCACCAACCAGAGGUAAACCACCCUUAUCACUCCUUGCAUCCUCUUAAGCUCCUUACGGGUGAACCACCAAACUAUUCCGAUGGUAAAUGUCGUCUUUGCGGAAGAAAGGUUAGAUAAAGAAUUGUUUUAUCAUUGUUCUUCUUGUAACUUCACUUUGGAUUGGCGUUGUGUUGUGAAUCCACCACCACAAUCUGUUGUCGAUUUGAAAGAUCAUGAUCACCAGCUCACCCUUCUUCCAAGACUCCUUUCUUUUACGUGUAAUGUUUGCGGUCUCAAGGGAGAUCGAAGCCCUUACAUGUGUGUUCAAUGUGAUUUCAUGAUCCAUCAUUUCUGUCUUGGCCUUCCACGUGUCAUUAACAUCAAUCGCCAUGAUCAUCGUGUUUCUCGUACUUUGCUUCUUGGUGUUGUGAAUUCUGUAUGCGGAGUUUGUCGCAAGAAGGUGGACUGGACUUGUGGGGGAUUUUCUUGUAAGAGGUGCCCUGGCUAUGUCGUUCAUUCUAAAUGUGCCGCCAGAAAUGAUGUGUGGAACGGAGAAGAACUCGAAGGAGUACCUGAAGAAGAAGAAGAUGUAGAACCCUAUGUGGUGAUAGGUGACAACACAAUACGACAUUUCAGCCAUGAAGAGCAUAACCUAAGACGAAUCCAUGGGAAUGGUAUUAUGUAUGAGGAGAACAAGCGAUGCAGUGCAUGCGUCCAUCCCAUCGGCCUCCAGUCCUUUUAUAGCUGUAUGGAAUGUGAUUUUUCUCUCCACCAUAACUGUGCUAAAUGUCCAAAAAAGAAAUGGCAUGUAGUACUACACAACGAAAGACUCACAUUAGAUACAAACGAGGAGCAAGAUUGGUUCGCUUGUGAUGCUUGUGAUGGAGUGUCCAAUGGUUUCAUGUACAAGGAUGGGGAUAAGACGUUAGAUGUCUUGUGCGGUUCAAUAUCUGAGCCAUUUGUCCAUCCAAGUCACCCCCACCAUCCCUUAUAUUACAUUCCAACAGAGAUAGAUGGAAUAUGCAAUGGUUGCAACAGCAAGGAAGAUUAUGUGCUCAGGUGCAUUGAAGAUGAUUGUAGAUUUGUAUUGUGCUUCAAAUGCGCCACUCUACCACAAGUGGUAAAGCACAUAGUAGACGAUCAUCCUCUCUCACUCUGCUAUGGCGAAGAAGAGGCAAGUGGUAAAUACUGGUGUGACAUUUGUGAGGGAAAAACCAAUCCACAGAAAUGGUUCUACACUUAUAAAGAUCACCUGGCCAGUUUGCAUACAGAGUGUGUGCUCGGGAAAUUUUCAGGGCUCAUGCCAAGAAGCAUAGCAGAGUCGCCGGACCACUCGUUUGAGGUGGUGCUCAAUAAUAGUGUAACUCGCCCAUUUUGUAGUGUGUGUAAGUCUCGUUGCAUGUACCCUAUCAACCUCAAGCUUCUUGGAACCUCAGAGAGAUACUUGUGCUCUAUUGAUUGCGUUAAUUUGUUUUUCAAAAAACCUGUAGUGUAAUAAAGUACACCAUGGAGGCAAAGAUGUUUGUCCGUUUCAGUUUCUUAUAUUCUUACUUGGACAAGUUCACUUUCAUUAUAAGUUGAUUUCCCUAAUGUAUUUAUCUUAUCCAUAAGGUCUGCUAUAACCAAACGAGCUGUCUUCUCAAAAGAAUAUAGUAUAACUAGAGUUGUUCGCACAUGUCAGCCAUUUCUUUGGUGUUGUCUCCGCCUUAUUGAAACAUUAUCUGUCUCUUCUCUUGGGUUGAAAAUAUGCAGUACUGAAUCAGCAAAGAAUCCACAGGCUUAUUCCUCAGAUCCUCUGGUUGGUACGAAUAUCAAACUUGAAGAGCAAGAUACCGGAGAAGAAGCUCUUGUUGCAUCUAAUGGAAGGUGGAUUUGAAUGCGGAAAAAGGAAGAAGCAGUUCCUCCUGCCAAGUUCUGAAACGAUACCGAGCGACUUCAGCUCAUUAACAGCAAAGGAAACGUCUAGUGGAUCUCAAAUCAAGCGUGUCAUUGAUUAUAGCUUGAUUCUCUGUUGAUUAUAACUUUCCUUUCUGUAUGUAACCAAAAAUAAGAGAGAAAUCUAUCCACAAACAUAUGCCCAUAAUGAGCUACACUUGGACUAAAACUCCAAGCUUUGGGUGAAUGUUUUUUCCACACAAAAAGCCUGAUUGCCUAUGUAAAAUUUAUCCGACACAUAUUAUCAGAGCUUCCUUAUUAAGAAGAUCCCUGAUAGGUACUGAGAUAGUGCUGACUUGGCACCUGCAACAUAAUAAGCAAAGAGGCUCUGUUUUGGUCUGAGGGUUUUCUCUUAGAGACCACAAGGAGUAUAACUGGAAGAGACGAGAGCCUUAGAAGAUUAUGCUGAAUAUUGUGGAAACUUGUAUAAGACGUUAUGAGUCUCUGUGAUUUAUGAUCGCCAUGAGAUCAUGAAUGGAGCUUGGGAUGAGAUCUUAGCUUGAGUUUCUACUCUAUGUCUGCUUGUAACUGCUCUAAUUCUAUCAAUAAAGGAGUUACAUGAUCAGAUUCAUAACAAUCCCAUCAUUUUUUUUUCUAAAUCAGAAACUCUCUCACAGUUGUUACAAGGAUUUUAUGUAAAAACAAAUUGGUUUGGCAUUGUGUUUUUAUGUAAAUCUGAAAAUGGUGACUAAAUGAUGUCAAAUACAAUAUACAGGUAUGUGCGAGUGUUCAUAUGUCCGGCUUUCAUCAGUCUGCUAAAUCUAACUUUUAAAGUAAUAUGACAUGAGUGUUCUUCACCAUUCUUUUACAUAUGCUUAGAUGUCUAUAAAUGGUCUUUUUGUUCAAAAACUAAUUUAUUUUCCCUGCAAAGGUUUGCAGAUAGUAGAACACUACUUGGCAGAUCUGAAAUCUCCUUGACAACUUUACUACACAAUGAACACCUUACUUUAGUUAUAAGCAAAAGAUUGGUUUCUUUUGGUGUUGAUGAUGCUUGUAGGAGAAUAUCCAACGGUGUCAGAUACUUGCAUGGAGAUGAGAAGUUUGAUGCCCUGUGCAGUUCAAUUCCUGAGUCAUUUUUUUCCGUAAUCAUCCCAGAAAACAAGCAUAGAGUCUGCUUGAAUUGUUGCAAUAGUUCUGGCAUAGUUGCAGUGCUCAGUUGCACUGAAGAUGAUUGUCAAUUUUUCUUAUGCUUGGGAUGUUCCAUUCUACCAAAAGUGGCAAAGCAUAGGUUGAUGACUAUAUUCUCUCACUAUGCUAUGGAGAAAAGGCAAAUGGUAAAUACUGGUAUGACAUUUGUGAGAAGGAAACCAAUGCAAAGAACUGGUUCUACACGUGUGCGCUCGGAGACACUAGGUGGCUCAUGCCAGGGAACACACUGAAGUACUUUGGCAUACCAUUUGAGGUGGUGCUCAAUAGAGGUAUAUCCUGUCCACUUUGCAGGCGCUGCAAGUCGCAUAGCAAUACGCUAUCAUCUUAAAGGUGCCUGGAACUUCAGGUAAAUACUUUGCUCUGUGAGGUGAAUUAGGAAGCUUCUCUUUGGGUUCCAUGUUAUAAUCAACCCCUCUCACAAUUUCAAGAGUAAUCUGCACUAGUAACUAAGGUUGAAAAAUAUUAUAAGCAUUUUGAUUAGACAAGCGGAAGUGAGUAUACAAGUUUGUAAUUAUGUUUGUCUAAGUAAACAUCUGAGACUGUUUUUUCUAUCUUCCUUUCUUAAUUCCUGCAAAAGUAUGCUAGUGAUUUUGCAAGAGCCAAAAAAAACAUGACUAGUAUGCCUGAAAUAAACAACUUUUCUUAUUCUUAUAUACUUUCCAGACAGAUAUAUCUGAAAGGUAGAAAAAAAAAAGAGACUACUGUUGCGGCAAUUAUUGAUAGCAGCAAUUAUUGAUAGCAGCAGAGACACGUUUUUUAUCAGGGGUUUUAUAGCUUUGAGGAUACAACCAACACCAUUAUUCAAGAGAUCUCCAUUAUUCGACUUUCCUCUUUCUUCAUCUUCUUUAGAGAGCAAAUGGAAUCUGAGGGAGUGUUGUUACGGCCAUUGUUUGACGAGCAUCCUAUGAUGCCUUGGAAUGAUCUGAGGAGAGGUGAUUGUUGUCAACGCUUUAAAUCUAUGAGUGAGGGCUACUAUUGUAAAAUCUGUGACUUUUUCGUCCACAAGAAAUGUGGCAACGACGAGCUCUCUGAAUUCAUCCACCACCCAUCUCACCCCAAUCACCCUCUCCAGCUUCGACACGAAUCACCUAACUAUUGUGAUUUUUGUGGUUGGAAAAUCUCAAAGCUAUUCUACCGCUGUGACGUGUGUAACAUCGACUUGGAUCUACACUGUGCCAAGCGCCAACCACCAAAUGUUAUUGACAAUUUUGAGACGCACCCCCACAAGCUCAUACUUCUCAAGGAAUGGACUCAGUUCGCCUGUUCUGAAUGCGGGAAGGGUCCUGGUGGACUUCCUUACAAAUGUCAUGAAUGCAUAUGUCCUUCCACGUGGAUUGUGUAUGGCCCCCAGCAACAAAGCUAAAUUACUCGCCAGAGGUAAACCAUCCUUACCACUCCUUGCAUCCUCUUAAGCUCCUCACAGGUCCACCACCAGACUAUUCUGAUGGUAAAUGUCGUCUUUGCGGAACAGAGAUUGGUGAAUAUUUUUAUCAUUGUUCUUCUUGUAAUUUCACCGUGGAUUUGCCUUGUAUUCUGCACCCACCACCGCAAGCUGCUGUGGAUUUGAAAUCUCAUGAUCACCAACUCACCCUUCUUCCACGACUGCUUUCGUUUACGUGUAAUGCUUGCGGUCUCAAGGGAGAUCGAAGCCCUUACAUGUGCGUUCAGUGUGAUUUCAUGAUUCAUCAAGACUGUCUUGGCCUUCCACGUGUCAUUAACAUCAAUCGCCAUGAUCACCGUAUUUCUCGUACUUUGCUUCUUGGUGAUGGUGCUAUGAAUUCUGUGUGCGGAGUUUGUCGUGAGAAGGUGGACUGGACUUGUGGCGGGUUUUCUUGUCAGAGGUGUUCUGGUUAUGUUGUUCAUUCUAAAUGUGCUACCAGAAAUGAUGUGUGAAGAAGUACCUGAAGAAGAAGAAGAUAUAGAACCAUAUGUGGUGACAGACGACAACACAAUACAUCAUUUUAGCCACAAAGAGCAUUACCUAAGACGAAUCCAUGGGAAUGGUAUAUUGUAUGAGAAUAACAAACGAUGCAGCGCAUGCAUCCAUCCCAUCGGUCUCCAAUCCUUUUAUGGAUGUAUGGAUUGUGAUUUUUCUCUCCAUCAGAAGUGUGCUGAAUGUCCUAAAAAGAAAAGGCAUGUGCUCCACAAUGAUCGGCUCACUCUAGUAACAAACAAAGAGCUAGAAGUUUUCGAAUGUGUUGCUU